GUGGCCGGAGGCUUGGUGGGAGGGGGCUGUGCAGGGCUUGGCCUCGAGGCACAUCUGUUCUGCACAUCUUCUCUAGAUGAGGGGGACCCUCGUUGUGGGGGCGGCUCAAGGACCAAAGACUCGCUGGCAGGCCGAUAACAGUGGUUGUGUCUGAUGUUGGGGGUGGCUGAGGGAGGGAUGCAACAGUGCCGUUCCUCGGGGCUCCUGGCGCCCUCUCCUGUGCUGUGCUGUUGAGGGCCUUAUAAAUAGCUCUGAGGACUGGACACAGAGGCGGAGGCGGGUAAACAAACCUCUCGACAUUUGGUGGAAAUGGCAAGUCUCCUGAGAGCGGCACCCCACCUCUGUCCCACCCCUCUGAGGGAAAGAGCUUGAGGGCCGCAGACUGCCCGAGAGGCUAAGGGAUCCCCCCCCACAUCCCCCCCCCACUGCUAGCUCCGCCCACAUUUGUCUGGUGGCCAGGGCCAGUGUCCCAGGAGGGGGCGCCUGGCCUGGACUCUGGCUGUGCACGCUUGCAUGCUCUUGGCAGGGCCUGUGUUUUCUCUGUGACUCCACCCUCUGCCACGGGGGUCGCCUGUUGGCUGGACAGGGGGUCUCGGUGGUACCCCUCCCCGGCUGGCUGAGCCAGGUAGUGGGAGGUGGCAGCAGCUAUGGCCAGCUGGCGGAGUCCAGGCCUUGGGCCUGCCAGGCCGCUUACAGUAACUCUGGCCCCCAGGGCCCAGCUGGGCACCAGGCCAGGGCUCAGGGGGAGGAGGGAGGGAGCAGGGGCCUGGCCUGGGGCAGGAGGGGCUGGAAGCAGCCAUGGACGGCUGGCUGGUCAGUCAGCUGCUGACUGCUGACCUGGGAAACGUGUCCCACCUCUCCUGGUGGGUGGGGACUGAACACCCUGCCCCGGGCACCCAAUGCCCCUCCCACAGCCCCUGGCAGUCUGCCUGGCACCACUGCCCUGUGCGGCCAGCUAGGCUGGGUCAGUGCCCCCUUCUCAGUGUGGGGGCAGCACGCUCUCGCCGGAGCCAGGGAGUCUCUUUGUCCCUGGGGCAGGCCCUGGCUGGGCGCCUCACUGCCCGCACUGGCCGUCUGCCCACCGCCACCACUGCUUCCUGGACCUCCUCCUCUGGCUCCGCCACGGCCCCUCCCUCCUGGGCCCCACUGGCUGCUGGAGCUGCUGGAGCAGGGGCUCCAUGUCUGUGUCUGCUCCUACAUGCUCCCCCUCUUUCUGGCGUGGGACCAGAGGGCAGGCAGAUACUCCCUCAGUUUCCACUGCAAUGCCAUUCAUACUCCACCUUCUGUUUCCUCCCUCUCUUCUGUCCUCAUAUGGCAGUGGCGGGUGGCACAGUGACCUGGAGUUGGGGGACUCCAGUUUUGGCCUAGUCUUCCAGUCCAUGCUAGGUGGCCAGGGAGGCCAGUCUCUGGGUUCAGGGCUGCUGGGGAAUGGAAUUGGGGUUGUGGGCAUGUCUGUGGUUCCUUUUGUCUACAGACACUGGAAUUCGUAUUCUUGGCGGGAGUAACUGCAGUGUCUCCUUCCUGCCAGGGUGGGAUUUUUAGGGAGGGACAAGGGGGGCGCUUGCAGCCUGGUGCCUGUGGGUAACUCGUCCUUCCCCAGGUGUUGGGAACAGAGCCCCAGACACUGCUCAGAGUUGGAGGUGGCCUGGGUUCGUGCCCAUCCUGUAUCAGACAAGCAAAGAGCAAAUGCUGUGUCCUCCUCCGAAUGUUGCAAGCUUCUUCCUCUUUCUUAGAGGUGGGUGGGGAGGGCUUCCGGGUCCCCCACUUCCCACCCUGGUAACCUUCUCCCCCCUGGGUGGGGUCCCCACAUUUUGGGCAAGUAGAGCCUUCUCUGGCUUUCUCCACCCAGGUUAGGCAAUGCUCCUUUCCUGCCCCCUCCCUCUGUGAGCCUGUGGUUUUCCCUGCCCCUCCCCUCUUCCUAGUAAACAACUUCUCUUCCUACCUAGACCCCCAGCUUUGAGCUUCCUCCUGACCUUCUCCUUCUCUGGGACCAGCGGUGUCGCCAUGGGCUUCUCCCUUCUUGUGCAGGACUGGCCGGCCUGGUGACCCAAGCUCCUCAGCGCUGGGUAGUGAAGCAUGACAGAUCAAAAUUCAUAUGUGUUGGAGAUGGAGGCAGCCUCAUUUCUCUGCUCUCCCUGCCUUGGGGCUGGUGCCAGGCGUCAGGCAGUUCCUAAGAGAGGUCUCUGCCUUGAGGUCCUUCCUGACCCUUCAAGCUAAAUUAGGUACCUACAGUAUUAAUUCUCCAUCAAAGCAUAUUACAGCUGUUUCAGAACACCA